UGGGAUGUGGCUCAGUGGUAGAACACUUACCUGACAUGCACAACAUCCUGGGUUCAAUCCCCAGUAUUGCAA
rnacentral:tRNA from 1 species